AUACCUUUCUCGGCCUUUUGGAUAAGAUCAAGUGUAGUAUCUGUUCUUAUCAGUUUAACAUCUGAUAUGUGGGUCAAUGGUCCCCACGAUAUUAACUCAAUUUUUUUAGGGGGAAAGUCCAUUAAGGUAGCUUGCUACCUGGGCUUUCAAGUGUUGCCAUUGCGUUGCACUAUUGCUUUGGCCUAGUGCACCCUAC
rnacentral:snRNA from 1 species